AACCUAUUUAAUCGAUAUAAAUUAAACGAAUAAAUGAAUUUGACUUUCAGGGUGAUUUUUAGUUUAUUACCUUCUUGAUUUUGUUUUAAUAAAUUAUACAAUAUUUACUCUUGUAGAUCAAGAAAAUGCAAUACGAAUUAAUAAUUUAAAUCUAGCUGGUGAGAGAGCUGUAAGAGUAGGUCGAUUUUGGUUUUUCUUGUAGUUUUCUGAAUAAUUAUGAUAGACCGUGAAAAAUUUAGGUAAAAUGGGAGAGGUUACGGCAUUAACAGUUUCAAU